UACGAGAGGCGCAAACGUUAUUCGGAUUUACUGGGCUUAAAGAGUUCGUAGGCGGCUUUGCAAGUCGGGUGUGAAAUCCCCAGGCUUAACCUGGGAACUGCAUUCGAGACUGCAUUGCUAGAGUAUGGGAGAGGGAAGUGGAAUUUCCGGUGUAGCGGUGAAAUGCGUAGAUAUCGGAAGGAAGACCAGUGGCGAAGGCGGGUCUCUGGACAGUUCCUGACGCUGAGGCACGAAGGCCAGGGGAGCAAACGGG
rnacentral:rRNA from 1 species